rnacentral:rRNA from 1 species
AUUGAACGCUGGCGGCAGGCCUAACACAAGCAAGUCGAACGAGUGGCGGACGGGUGUGUAAUGUCUGGGAAACUGCCUGAUGGAGGGGGAUAACUCCUGGAAAAGGUAGCUCAUACCGCAUCCCAUUCGAUGUGCCCAGAUGGGAUUAGCUAGUUGGUGGGGUAACGGCUCACCAAGGCGACGAUCCCUAGCUGGUCUGAGAGGAUGACCAGCCACACCGGAACUUAGACACGGUCCAGACUCCUACGUGAUGCAGCAGUGGGGAAUAUUGCACAAUGGGCGCAAGCCGGAUGCAGCCAUGCCGCGUGUAUGAAGAAGGCCUUCGGGUUGUAAAGUACUUUCAGCGGGGAGGCGUUACCCGCAGAAGAAGCACCGGCUAACUCCGUGCCAGCCGCCGCGGUAAUUC